rnacentral:ncRNA from 1 species
GUGUCCCUCCUAGAGGAAUGAUAGACAACCGGGUGAGAAUCCCGGACGGUACCGCCGCUGUAAGCGCUGAGGCCGCUGCUCGUUGAUGAAGAUCAGCCACUGGGAAACCGGGAAGGCAGAGCACGGACGCAGGAGAGGCAGCUCUCCCUAAGCGUAAGUCAGAAGACCUGCUUGAGG